rnacentral:rRNA from 1 species
UGAGGAAUAUUGGUCAAUGGGCGGGAGCCUGAACCAGCCAAGUCGCGUGAGGGAAGACGGUCCUAUGGAUUGUAAACCUCUUUUGUCGGGGAGCAAAGAGGCCACGUGUGGUCAAAAGCGAGAGUACCCGAAGAAAAAGCAUCGGCUAACUCCUGCC